GGAGAGUUGGCCGAGCGGCUGAAGGCGCACGACUCGAAAUCGUGUAUUCCGUGAUGAACGGGAUCCGGGGUUCAAAUCCCUGACUCUCCGCCA
rnacentral:tRNA from 1 species